rnacentral:rRNA from 1 species
UACGGGGGGAGCAAGCGUUGUUCGGAUUUACUGGGCGUAAAGCGUGCGCAGGCGGCGCGUUUAAGACAGGUGUGAAAGCCCCGAGCUUAACUUGGGAAUUGCGCUUGUGACUGGCGUGCUGGAGUGUGGCAGAGGGAGGUGGAAUUCCACGUGUAGCAGUGAAAUGCGUAGAGAUGUGGAGGAACACCGAUGGCGAAGGCAGCCUCCUGGGCCAGCACUGACGCUCAUGCACGAAAGCGUGGGGAGCAAACAGG